AACGAACGCUGGCGGCAUGCCUAACACAUGCAAGUCGAACGAUCCCUUCGGGGAUAGUGGCGCACGGGUGCGUAACGCGUGGGAACCUGCCCUUAGGUUCGGAAUAACUCAGAGAAAUUUGAGCUAAUACCGGAUAAUGUCUUCGGACCAAAGAUUUAUCGCCUUUGGAUGGGCCCGCGUUGGAUUAGCUAGUUGGUGGGGUAAAGGCCUACCAAGGCGACGAUCCAUAGCUGGUCUGAGAGGAUGAUCAGCCACACUGGGACUGAGACACGGCCCAGACUCCUACGGGAGGCAGCAGUGGGGAAUAUUGGACAAGGGGCGAAAGCCUGAUCCAGCAAUGCCGCGUGAGUGAUGAAGGCCUUAGGGUUGUAAAGCUCUUUUACCCGGGAUGAUAAUGACAGUACCGGGAGAAUAAGCCCCGGCUAACUCCG
rnacentral:rRNA from 1 species